rfam:Triticum aestivum genome assembly, contig: Triticum_aestivum_CS42_TGACv1_scaffold_404702_5BL
CUCUUACUCCCUCCGUUCGGAAUUACUUGUCUCGAAAAUGGAUGUAUCUAGAACUAAAAUACGUCUAGAUACAUCCAUUUCUGCGACAAGUAAUUCCGAAGGGAGGGAGUAUGUU